AGCCUCACGAAACUGGAAUAAGCCUU
rnacentral:piRNA from 1 species